GCUCAGGGAUAUCUCAGAUGGUAGAGCAUGAGACUCCUAAUCUCAGUAGUGUGGGUUCAAGCCCCACGUUGGGCA